rnacentral:ncRNA from 1 species
ACGGAGUAAGCCGAAAAUCCAGCAAAGAGUAGGCA